GCAACUUGCUCCCGCUUGAAGUUCACUAGUGUUUGGUGCGCGCUCAUGCGCGCGUGACCAAAUGUGGCGUAAGAUUUUUUUGGUAUAAGCGUGUAUAACCUUUUAUGUGUCAUGAACAUGUAUACAUGGAGAGUAGUAUUUUUCUCCCUUUUUUGUGCUGGUCACAUAAGUAUGUAAGUAUGGAACCAAAUCUAAACAUAUUAUGAGUAUAUAAACACAUAGGUAUGAAACCAAAUGUAACCAUAUUACGUUGUUUUUCGAUAGUUCAUAUCUGUUGUAGAGUGAAUUGAGACUACAAUAUAUAUUAAGUAGCAUUCAACCAGCGUGAUCAAGAGCUAGCAACAAUGUGUCUGCAAGUGUUGUGUCAACUUAUACAGAUUCAUAGAGAGGGCAACAGUUAGUUUAUAUUUACAUGGAAACAUUCAUGGUUCAAAACUGAUGGUGCUUUUGAUAGGCGCGCAAAAACCAAAUAUCUGUGCAUAAAAGAAAGGAAAAUAUUAGUUGGACUGAAAGUUGUUUUUGCCAAAUAGUUUGUUGAUGUGUAUUAACGACAAGGGAGAGUGGAAGAUAUCAUGUUGAUUGCAGCAACCCUUUAAUCCAUCCCUACUGACGUUCAAGGCGUCUUCAAAGCGAUGCCUUAGCAAACUUCAAGGCGCCAUGGCGACACGUUACUAGCCAAGGUGGACGCCUUAGUCUCUGGUCUAAGGCGAGAGGGACACCUUGCCGCUGCUUCUUACCGCCUAAGCGUCACCUAAGCGACACUUCAAGGAUGCCUAAACAACUAUGCUACUAGCUUAUUAGACUGCUAGUGAAUUGUGGACAUAAGAUUAUAUAGGAGCAAAUUUGAAAAGGUGUACUUGUUGUAGUAGACCUGUGCUUCAAGAAUUUCAGGAUUGAAGUACCAUGAGCUUGAUGUAGUACCACUUAGGUAUGCUUAACCUACAUUGUAAGUAGAACAUUUGUUACCAUAUUUUUUAAGACAAAUAAUGCAGUUGUUCUUCUGAAAAGAUUGGAUCAUAACCUUUGAAUCUUUUAGCAAGAAAGCCAACAAGCAGUAUGACGAUAGGCUGGUUGUUGCUUUGAUUAUAAACACAGUGGCAGAAAAGGUUGAUGCUUGAUCUCCCCAAAGAGUAAUUUUUAAAGACAUAUCACUGAAGUAAUAAGAAUACUAUGGCUAGUAUAAAUACACUGUCUCUUAGAAGGAUUAGUGUUGAGAAGAUUUCUUAGUACUUGUCACACAUUUUAUAUGGCAAGAUCGUAGCAGUAAUACAUAAGGGAGAAUUUUGUACCUUAUAUCUUUGAUGAAGACGUCUCUGAUCAUGGUUGAAUUGUUGUAACCAGUUAGAUGUGGAGGACCAAUUUGUUAUUUGUGUCAACAUUCCAAUGACAUCUAUGUUUGUUGGAGAAGUAGGUUAGUCUGAUGUAAAUAUUAUGCAUAAUUUUGCAUGAAGACCUUAGAUAUUGAAUCACCAUCAAUCCGUGCUAAAGGUAUUAGUGGCUCAGGCCUAGGGCUGUAAGGAGGAAGGCAGACUUUACCAUUUUUUCAACAGUUGUUGUAAACGAUGGAUCGAGAUCCAGAGUAGUGAGUACACUGGCAUGACGGUGAUCCACAAUGAGAUCGAGCAUUGUAGGAAGCUGCAUUCUGGUACACAAUGGAAGAAAAUGUAAUCAAUUAUAAGUAAAGGCUAGUAAAAAAAAUUGGUGUCCUAUUUUCUACAUUCGCACCAAACCUUUUUAUAUUUAUCUAGCAAAUGUAAAUGUAUAAUGUAUUAAUCUGCAUUUGAUCGUACCUUUGAUUAUUUUAACAAAUUCUAGGUCAAAGUGACCACACUGCAAUGUUGGAACCUGUCAUGAAGUUGUGCCCGCACCUAAUAUAGUUUAUUCUCUUUCUUAGCACUAGGCAAUCACGCGAAUCGUUGGGAAAAAUUGCUAAAGGUGCUACCUACGGACGACAACCUUCGUUCAUUGAAUAGUUGCUUACAUAUGCGAUAUGCUUCGCUUGGAGGUAUAGCUGAUGGAGCACAACAUGCAUUGCUAUGAUCUGUCAUGACAAAUUUGUCAUGAGCAUAUAUCACAGCCUAUGUGGUAAAUAAAAUUAAAAUUUGUUUUUGGAUUCUAAUGAUGCGUCCCAUGAAAACUCUAAGGCACUUACUCCUUUUUCUGUUGUUUGGGUUGACACGCUCCAUUUGAAUACAUUGUUAUAGAUUUCCUUGUCCAAAAGUUUACGACACUAGCAUAUGUUGUUUAUGUUAUGAACCUGCAUUUUUAAGAAUUUUGUGAAUUAACUGUAUGGCUCACUCAUGCAAUAAACCUUAUAUAUACCAAGAAGUGGCAUACAUAAAUGUUUACAUGGAUCAGUUAUGUGGUGUUCUUUUGGUAUAUGUGCAUUGAAUGCAUGUAUGUCAAAUCUAAUAUGUAUAGGAUAAUCUCAUAUGUAUUGAGAAGUCUCCAGUUUAUAAACAGAAAUUAAAAACCUAGGUAGCACAUAAAUUCAUUGCACAAAAUAAAACUCUAUCAUUCGUGCAUCAUGUAUCGUACUUAAAGUGCGAAAAAGAUAACAUGUUAAAAUAAGUGCCAAUUACCUCGUUAGCGAAGUCUCUAACGAUCUGAGGUCCUCUUCGACAUGUUUCAACGAAACAACAUGAAUAAACAUAAA
rnacentral:lncRNA from 1 species